UACGUAGGGUGCGAGCGUUGUCCGGAAUUAUUGGGCGUAAAGAGCUUGUAGGCGGUUUUUCGCGUCUGCUGUGAAAAUCCGAGGCUCAACCUCGGACUUGCAGUGGGUACGGGCAGACUAGAGUGUGGUAGGGGAGACUGGAAUUCCUGGUGUAGCGGUGGAAUGCGCAGAUAUCAGGAGGAACACCGAUGGCGAAGGCAGGUCUCUGGGCCACUACUGACGCUGAGAAGCGAAAGCAUGGGGAGCGAACAGG
rnacentral:rRNA from 1 species